UACGGGGGGGGGCAAGCGUUGUUCGGAAUUACUGGGCGUAAAGGGCUCGUAGGCGGCCAACUAAGUCAGACGUGAAAUCCCUCGGCUUAACCGGGGAACUGCGUCUGAUACUGGAUGGCUUGAGUUUGGGAGAGGGAUGCGGAAUUCCAGGUGUAGCGGUGAAAUGCGUAGAUAUCUGGAGGAACACCGGUGGCGAAGGCGGCAUCCUGGACCAACACUGACGCUGAGGAGCGAAAGCUAGGGGAGCAAACGGG
rnacentral:rRNA from 1 species